rnacentral:rRNA from 1 species
GAUGAACGCUAGCGAUAGGCUUAACACAUGCAAGUCGAGGGGCAGCAUUAUUUUAGCUUGCUAAGAUAGAUGGCGACCGGCGCACGGGUGCGUAACGCGUAUGCAACCUGCCUGUAAUUAGGGAAUAACCCGGUGAAAGUCGGACUAAUACCCUAUAUUCUUCUUUCUCCGCAUGGAGGAGGACGGAAAGAUUUAUUGAUUACAGAUGGGCAUGCGUCCCAUUAGCUAGUUGGUAAGGUAACGGCUUACCAAGGCAACGAUGGGUAGGGGGACUGAGAGGUUGACCCCCCACACUGGUACUGAGACACGGACCAGACUCCUACGGGAGGCAGCAGUGAGGAAUAUUGGUCAAUGGGCGAGAGCCUGAACCAGCCAAGUCGCGUGAAGGACGACGGUUCUAUGGAUUGUAAACUUCUUUUGUAGAGGAAUAAUGGCAGCUACGUGUAGCUGAGAUGCAUGUACUCUACGAAUAAGUAUCGGCUAACUCCGUGCCAGCAGCCGCGGUAAUACGGAGGAUACGAGCGUUAUCCGGAAUUAUUGGGUUUAAAGGGUGCGUAGGUGGCGUAUUAAGUCAGUGGUGAAAAGCUGCAGCUCAACUGUAGUCUUGCCGUUGAAACUGAUAUGCUAGAGAGGAGACGAGGUAUGCGGAAUGUGUGGUGUAGCGGUGAAAUGCAUAGAUAUCACACAGAACGCUGAUUGCGAAGGCAGCGUACCAGGCUCCGUCUGACACUGAAGCACGAAAGCGUGGGGAUCAAACAGG